rnacentral:misc_RNA from 1 species
UUUUGUUUUCUGCUUGUGCAAUGUGCGUAUCUAUAAAUGGAUGCUUAACUAAAACUUCUCUAUCAUGGUAACCUUUUGGUUUGCAGUUUGAUGCAGCCCCAACCUUUUUUUACGCGGCAUUAUGUUUUGUGUCCUGUUAUGCAUAUGGAUUUAGCAUAUGUCUAUAGUCAAGUUCAGUCAUCCGGUUGAAAUUAUCUCCUGUAUUUUGUGAUGUUUUUCAGUUAGUAUUCAACAGCAUGAUAAUUGGGGCAUUCUCUCUUGUUCUUCACAUCAUAUAACAUGGAUCUUUGUGUUAUGGGAUCCUGGCAUGCAUGAUUCUAUAUUAUGGGAUCCUGGCAUGUAGUAUCAUUCAGAAUAUUAACUUUGAAGUAGAUGAAUAUUCAUGAAUACCAUGUUGUUACCUCCAGCUUGUUUGUCGAUUUAGUUCACAAUAUUUCUUUCUCUCUUCCACUUUUGUUUUGAAGAGUGAUGUCGUUAGGUUGGAUGACAUUUUCCAGAUGAAUUCUAUAUUUCGCAUUCUUUGCAGUGCUAUAACAGCUUUUUGUGACUGGGGGAGAAGCAGUCAUUUUGUUGUAAUCUUUCGGGAAUAAAUUCCUGGCAAAAUGGUUAAAACUUUAUCAUAUGUGAAUAUUCUUGUUCUUGACUGAUUAGCUUCCUAUGUGCAAGCAUGCUGUUGAUAUCCUACUCUAAAUGCAUCAUCAUAGUAUCAAUUUCUUGCCCCUAAAUUAAAAUGGGUUUUGCGCAAGCAAGAAAAUAGAUGUACGCUUUUGGUGAGGAAGAUGGGAGAGAAGUACUGACUUUUCAUUUUUGAUCACCCUUAACGAAUUUUUUCAUAUAGAUGCCCAUUACUGUAGAUAAUUUCUCAGCAGAUCCUCAGUGUAUUAUGGAGGCAAUUCUUACCAUAUGACAUUUCCAUUCAAUUCAGUCUCCCCCGCCGAAAGCAAUACAAUUGAGGAGCCAAAGGU